CUGACCUUUGGACGGAGACUUCAGCAGGGUUAAAUUAGGAAGAUUGGGAUACAGGCCAAAUCGAGGCGGUUUUGUGCUGGCCUCAGAGCGUAUCGAGGCAAUUGAACCCAAUGUUUGAAUGUCAGUUUAGGCGCCAGGACAGAUUGAGAAGGUCGGGGUGUUGGGGCCUAAGCAUGGUGGAAAGUAUGGAGACCUGUUCUGCAAAGCUCUGCUCCAGUACGGGAUCCUCUGCUUUGGUAUAUUUCGACUGCAAGACCCAGGCAAACUGUCAAAGAAACGGUUUGUCAUUACAAAUCCUUCGUCUUGCUUUGAGCUGACCGAGUCGGACUUCAUCAUGUGUACUGUGCCCUUCUACGACACUCAGACCAUAACCAGCAACAUCUCCUCCCGAAUGAACUACCUGUCCAGGUUCAUCCCACUUCACACAGUAUCCAGGCAGUCCUCCCUUAGCAUGAGGACUGACUACGAUGCUUAUAGCCGUGACUACACUGAGCUGGCAAGGCAGGAGGCGGACAG